UGUUCCACAGCUCCGGUGUUCCACAGCUUCGGUGUUUUACAGCUCUGGUGUUUCACAGCUCUGGUGUUCCACAGCUCCGGUGUUUUACAGCUCUGGUGUUCCACAGCUCCGGUGUUUUACAGCUCUGGUGUUUCACAGCUCCGGUGUUUUACAGCUCUGGUGUUUCACAGCUCCGGUGUUUUACAGCUCUGGUGUUCCACAGCUCUGGUGUUUUACAGCUCUGGUGUUCCACAGCUCUGGUGUUUUGAAGCCGUAUUUUCUCUCUCUGUCUGAAUGAGAACUGAGAAUCGAUGUGACCGUCAGUCUGUAAAGGUCACCGCUACAAGAAACUCAUUUAUUCUGCGCCGCUAAAUAGUCGUUCACUCCUGCGCCAUCAUCAUAGAGGACGGGCUGUUUCAGUUCCUGCUCUGGUCAGAAUUGAUGGGUGAGUCUGGAGGAGUCAAAAACAGGUGGAGGAGGAGCUGGAUACUCUGUGUUGAUGGUGGACUGAACAGGGAGGGUGGAGGAGGAGGAAUCGCUCGUGACUGAGAGACGCUUAUAGUCCUGAUUUAUCUCCAUCUGAUUUCCACCUUUUUGGAGGCUGAAAGAAGCUUUAAGGGGAAGAAGAUUUUCAUGUGAUGAUGAUGUGAAAGCAGCGGAGCAUCAGUGGCUACGAGCUCAACCCAACACAUUUUUGCUGACGGCGUUAAAUAGUUGGUCUGAAGCUGGAAAAAUGCAUCAGAAGGCGACGAUGUAGAAAAGUGAUGGAGUUUGUUUUUAUAUUCUUAAUAAAAACACACAUGAAAGGAGUGCUAUGUUAAGCAUCUGUGUUGUUGUGUGUUGUUUUCUUUUUAUAUGAUUCAUGUUGAGAAU